rnacentral:rRNA from 1 species
GACGAACGCUGGCGGCGUGCUUAACACAUGCAAGUCGAACGGAGUGGCGAACGGGUGAGUAACACGUGGGUGAUCUGCCUUGCACUUCGGGAUAAGCUUGGGAAACUGGGUCUAAUACCGGAUAGUGCAAGAUGAGCUCGCGGCCUAUCAGCUUGUUGGUGGGGUAAUGGCCUACCAAGGCGUCGACGGGUAGCCGGCCUGAGAGGGUGUACGGCCACAUUGUGACUGGGGUACUGCCCAGGGUGCUACGGGGGCAGCGGGGGGGAGUAUUGCACAAUGGGCGGAAGCCUGAGGCAGGGGCGCCGCGUGGGGGAGGCAGGCCUUCGGGUUGUAAACUCCUUUCGACAGGGACGCGGUACCUGUAUAAGAAGCACCGGCUAACUACGUGCCAGCAGCCGCGGUAAUUC